CCGAUCUAUCAGCCUCCUCCUCACCGCCUCGUCUCCCACCGCCGCACCCCUUCCUCUCAUUGGCUCUUCCUCCUCCUUCGAUGUCCUCACUAUCCGGGCGCAUCUCUACUCGGCUGCCCUUGCCAGUGUCGCCGAGGGGAAGCCGGCGGUCCUUGUCGGAGGAAUUAUGGGCGGCAGAUCAACGCAACUUGCGCUCGGCGGCCUGCUCUGAUUGAGGUACUGACGGGGCUGUGGAACAAGAACCCAUCCGACUCCAUACCUGCGCCGGAGAUCGAGAGAAUCAGACGCACGUCCGACUGCCAGGUCCCAGCACCCAGCCGCCUCCAUCGCCAUGGCCUAGGGUUUCUUCAUUCCGUGUUGACGUCGUUGUCUUGCCGCCGCCAUUCAUGUGUCGCUGCUGUCAUGCGAUACUUAUGUUUGCCCCCAGCUGUUGCUUCCUCGAUUCAAACAACCAGAUUAAAUCCCGUCUACUCCUGUGUGCUUGUAAUGGGCGAACUGAAUACCGUGCACUGAAGAUUUGGGUUUGGCGCUAUCUACAGGGAGACAUGGAUUACAUGACUAAUUUGUUUGCUUUGCAAUUAUUGUGCCUACGAGAUGUGGUUUGAUGCUACCAAUUCCUUGUCACUUUCUGCUAAUCUUUUGUAUUCAACAUUCCAUGCCAGGUCUCCCGUUCAUGAAUCUGCAUAACUGAAUCUGAAAAGUCGAUAUGUAAUCAGAAGAGACGUGCGAAGGACUGGAGGUGAUUCGAGACAGCAACACGAGCAGAAUAGGAAGUGCUACUCGAUGCUGUAUCCUAAUAUUGCACUUUCUGUGUGUAUAUGAUCAACUAGUGCACAACAAGGUUAUUUCUCAUAGCUUCUUGCUUAUUAUCCUAUGAUCUAGAUGUGUAUACUGCAGAGCAUAAUUGUACACAUCGGAAAACCGUUAUUUUUGCUUGUCGUUUGACAACCUGCAUGAGUUUUUGUUGGAAUACAUGUUUACCUUAAUUUAUUGCUUAGUAGCAUCCUGUUGUCGACUUGGAUCACUCCUACAGAAUUUAUAUGCAUUAGUUUUGAUUUAAUGACUUUGCUGCACAUUGAGUAUCCAAUGCUAGAUGAUCUGCACAAAGGUUCUAAUAAUGGAUUUCACAUUGGCAUGUUUGAGUUUGUAGCAGAAGAAGGCAUGUUCAUUAUGCCCUACCGGGCAAUCAGAUAUUGUGAGUUGUAUAUCUGGAGCAUUGGAAAAAUUUCGCAAGGGCACAAGUAAUAUAAUGAAGGGAUAUUCUGCAAUCAGCGUCCAGGCCAUGGGGAAGAAGGCAUAAUAGAUAAUUUUAUUUUUAUUUCUUAGAUUAGAUUAAGGUAUGAGUAAACCUGUGCCACGAAAUUUGUGGAUAACAGGUUGAUCUAAUGUCCAUUUUGUAAUUUGUAUCAAGCCGAUGUAUGUAACUCAGAUUGGAUGUAUCUAACUCAGAUUGGAUUUAUAAAUUUUAAUUAAAAAAGGUUAAUAAUUUAUU